rnacentral:rRNA from 1 species
UGGGGAAUUUUGGACAAUGGGGGAAACCCUGAUCCAGCCAUCCCGCGUGUGCGAUGAAGGCCUUCGGGUUGUAAAGCACUUUUGGCAGGAAAGAAACGUCAUGGGUUAAUACCCCGUGAAACUGACGGUACCUGCAGAAUAAGCUCCGGCUAACUACGUGCCAGCAGCCGCGGUAAUACGUAGGGUGCAAGCGUUAAUCGGAAUUACUGGGCGUAAAGCGUGCGCAGGCGGUUCGGAAAGAAAGAUGUGAAAUCCCAGAGCUCAACUUUGGAACUGCAUUUUUAGCUACCGGGCUAGAGUGUGUCAGAGGGAGGUGGAAUUCCGCGUGUAGCAGUGAAAUGCGUAGAUAUGCGGAGGAACACCGAUGGCGAAGGCAGCCUCCUGGGAUAACACUGACGCUCAUGCACGAAAGCGUGGGGAGCAAACAGG